GGUGGCCUAUGAUGUAAGAAUUUGCCUACAUUGUCUGAUUGUCAAAUAAGGGACUGAUAAAUGAAGUAGUCCUGAGGCCUUU